UGGGGAAUAUUGGACAAUGGGCGAAAGCCUGAUCCAGCCAUGCCGCGUGUGUGAAGAAGGUCUUCGGAUUGUAAAGCACUUUAAGUUGGGAGGAAGGGCAGUAAGCGAAUACCUUGCUGUUUUGACGUUACCGACAGAAUAAGCACCGGCUAACUCUGUGCCAGCAGCCGCGGUAAUACAGAGGGUGCAAGCGUUAAUCGGAAUUACUGGGCGUAAAGCGCGCGUAGGUGGUUCGUUAAGUUGAAUGUGAAAGCCCCGGGCUCAACCUGGGAACUGCAUCCAAAACUGGCGAGCUAGAGUAGGGCAGAGGGUGGUGGAAUUUCCUGUGUAGCGGUGAAAUGCGUAGAUAUAGGAAGGAACACCAGUGGCGAAGGCGACCACCUGGGCUCUUACUGACACUGAGGUGCGAAAGCGUGGGGAGCAAACAGG
rnacentral:rRNA from 1 species